rnacentral:rRNA from 1 species
UGAGGAAUAUUGGUCAAUGGGCGAGAGCCUGAACCAGCCAAGUAGCGUGCAGGAUGACGGCCCUAUGGGUUGUAAACUGUUUUUAGAUGGGAAUAAAGUGAGGGACGUGUCCCUUAUUGCAGGUACCAUACGAAUAAGGACCGGCGAAUUUCGGGCCAGCAGCCGCGGUAAUACGGAAGGUUCAGGCGUUAUCCGGAUUUAUUGGGUUUAAAGGGAGCGGAGGCCGUUUGGUAAGUGUGUUGUGAAAUGUCGGAGCUCAACUUCUAAAUUGCAGCGCGAACUGUCAGACUUGAGUGCGCACAACGUAGGCGGAAUUCAUGGUGUAGCGGUGAAAUGCUUAGAUAUCAUGAAGAACUCCGAUUGCGAAGGCAGCUUACGGGAGCGCAACUGACGCUGAAGCUCGAAGGUGCGGGUAUCGAACAGG